UAUAUAAUCAUAAAUGGGUUUCGCGAAGGACAUAGAGUAUGGUUGAGAAACAAACAACAGUAAUAUAUUUGGUGUUUAUCUAGAAAAACUACCGGCUGGUUACUUUAGCCGCAUUUUCUUAGUGUGUGAAAUGAAUUUUUCAAUUUCCCACUAAAGCAAAGUUUCAUUUUCCCGCUCCCUACCCACACCCACGCCCCCACUCUCAAAUUAAUAUUGACUCAAAUGCACAGGGGUUUGUUUAGGGUUCUUCCAUCGUCAACUAUCCCCCUUCCUUUGAACUAACAUCCAUGGUUCGUUUAGGAACUUGUGAUCAUUAACAGCGACAAUGCAUAUGUGGGGGUGAAUGAUAGAGAUGGAACCACUGAACGGACCUCUUUCUCGAUCGAUUUAGGUUCAUUAGUCAACCAAGAUAAGGGAAAAUCAAAGAUAUUAUGCGUAAAGUAUUUGCAGUUGCUUUAUUGUAGACCAACUGUUUGAUAUAAUGUAUGUACAUGUUGUUAGUUGGUGUGGUUGUUUUGUUGCAGAUCAACUAUUACAGGAAGAAAAUCCUGAUCGAUAAGUUGUUCAAUUCCACUUUGUGAGAUGUUAUCUCUUAUUAUAUUAUCGGUUUCAUUCACUAUGGCUGCAGGAAGUCUUUUCUUAAAAGUAAUAGUUAAUCUGUGUUUGAUGGAGGUAAUGGAGGCAUGCAUUAUCAUGUGGUUUUGAUUAAAAAAAUGUGUGGAAACUAAGGUAAUCUUUGUUUAAGCUUACUUAAAAAACGUGACAGACAGUUUCAAUUUAAUGUUCUGGAUGAAAUUUGUUAAGGGUCUGUGGACCACAAUCGCCAAAUUUGGAUUAUGUGGUUUGUGAAUUAUCACUUUUCUGCACAUCAAGAGGCUGGAAAUCGUUGCAUACGAUUUUAAUUAUGUAUAUUUCGGGCAAUGUCUUUUACUUCGGCGGGCACACGGACUGUGAUCUUCGAUUCAAAUUCUUCGUGUAGCAUAUGUAGGUACAUUCUUUCCUUGACAUGUUUUUAUUUUAACUGGUGUUGCUCUUAAUAGUAUGUGGAUAAUGGUUUGUCAAAGAUAUAUGAGGCAAAAUAUGGUUUUCUUUUAAGGUGACUUUAAUUAUUUGGCCGAAUGAUUUCUGUUACGAUGAAGCAGGGGACUUAAUCUCAGAAAGGAAAUUGGAAUGACUUAAUUAAAGAGAGCGACCAACAUAACACAACACUGAAAUCUCAAAUUCUUUUCCAUGGAAUGCCUAAAGCUGUAGAUUAGCAUAGAUAAAUUAGCAUUUCUAGUUACCCUUGUUGCUUACAUUGAUCUGAUGAAUUUGCAACCUUAAUUAUGGUGCAAUGAAGUGUAAUUUUUUUUUUGCGACAAGCCGACAACCAUCCAACUUUAACAUUUACAUCUAAUUUGAAUUUUCUAGUUUUUGCUUAAA